GGUGGCUCAAUGGUAGAGUGCUUGCCUUGCAUGCAUGAGGUCCUGGGUUCGAUUCCUCAGCACCA
rfam:Dipodomys ordii contig_42297, whole genome shotgun sequence.